rnacentral:tRNA from 1 species
GACUCGUUGGUGAAAUGGCUAGCACGCCCGUACUGACAAUAUGGGAGAUCCCAGUUCGAGUCUGGGACGAGUCC